rnacentral:rRNA from 1 species
GACGAACGCUGGCGGCGUGCUUAACACAUGCAAGUCGAACGAAGUGGCGAACGGGUGAGUAACGCGUAAUCAACCUGCCCUUCAGAGGGGGACAACAGUUGGAAACGACUGCUAAUACAGCAUACUGAUGGCGGGGACUGCGUCUGAUUAGCUAGUUGGAGGGGUAACGGCCCACCAAGGCGAUGAUCAGUUGCCGGUUGUGGUGGAUGAACGGCCACAUUUGGACUGAGACACGGCCCAGGCCCCUACGGGAGGAUGCAGUGGGGACUCUUCCGCAAUGGACGUAAGUCUGACGGAGCAACUCAGCGGGAGUUAUGACGGCCUUCGGGUUGUAAAGCUCUGUUAAUCGGGACGCGUUACCGGAAUAGAAAGCCACGGCUAACUACGUGCCAGCAGCCGCGGUAAUUC